UUUAAUUAAAAAAAUUAAAAUAAAAUAAAAAUUACAAAAAUAUUUUAAAAUUAUAAUUUAUUUUAUUUUAUUUGUUGUUUUUCUUUUUUUCAUUUUUCUUCUUAUUCUUCGUCGUCUUCUUCCUCUAACCCGACCCCCUCCUCACCUCGUCUUUUUCUUCCAGCCACACUCCGAGAGAAUGGACCACUGUCCAUAGCUCCAGCCCGCCCGCCGUCGAGAUCCGAAGCUGCUUCCCAGUCGUCCACUGCCCACUGCCGUCGACUGGGCAUCUUCUUCACACAAUUCCCAAUCCCAGCCAUGACCCUCACCCCAUGCCCAUCUCAGCCACGACCCUCACCACCAAAAUUCACCAAGAAAAUUCAUUUCCAAAAAUUAGGGUUUCUAAUUUUUUUUAUUGUAAAGUAAAAAAAUAUCUCAGAUGGGGAAAUUAAUGUCUAAUCUCGCCCAACAUUGCACCAAAGCCCUCAAUCUCAUUGUGCUUCAAAGAUCGACCUGUUCAUCGAAGAGAUUGUGAUCACUGAUGCUCAUGUCACUUUCUACAAGUUCAAUAUCAAGAGCAAUCAAUGGAUCCUUAGAAUCUUACGAUUUGAUUGUGAAGGAGCUCCAUUUUCAAGUUUAAUGGAGAACUCUAGUGGUGGUGCUCUAAUUAGAUCCAACUGUCUCUCUUAUUUAUUCUCAUCUGUGUAUAUAUAUAUAUAUAUUUGAUUUUUCUUUAUUAUUUUAUCAAAACAAUGGUGGUGGUCUGAGUAAAAAAAAUAGAUUUAAGUUUUUGUUGGAGAUUUGGUUCGUGAGUGUAGCAAACAGGGUUUUGUUUUGUUUUCUGAUUGUCUUUGAUGUCGACGGUGGUAGUUGGUGACCGUGGCUGGGAAUGGGGGUGGUGGCUGGGGAUCGGCAUGGGUAUGAAUUGUGUGAAGAAGACGAAGAGAAAAAAGAAAAUAAAAGAGAAAAGGAAAAAAAAAAGUUAUUUUAUGAUUUUAAAA